UUUAAUAGAUUAAUUAGGAGAGAAUAGAUAUCUUUAAAAUUGAGUCUUCUGUCCAACUGCAAGUUAUAGCUGAGGUGGUACCAGUUUAAGAAGUGAGAACUUCUUCACUGACUGAAAUUUGCAUAUCAAUCCAAAUCAUUGUGCUUAUUUACUAUUUUUGUAGACGUCAUUCUUCAAAAGUGCUGCAUCUUCAAUAGUCAAGGAGGACAAAGACAUCUUUCCUGCAGGUGGUGACCAUGUGGAUAAUAGGAUCAUAGACAAAUGGUGGUUCCAUCUACAGCAUCACCGAAAUGCUGUUGUUACUGCUUCUUUCUGGGAUCUUCUUGCAUCUUUGCUUCUAAAGGGGCACACCUUUUAUAGAAGUACGUCCAGGAAUAGAAGUGACCUGCUUUUUCGCAAGUAAUUGCCUGGAAUGUUUUUAUGUACUUCUCUGCACUCUCAAUACAUUUCAUGCUUCCCUCUAUUUUUGUAUAUUAACUCAUUGUAUUUCUUAAAUUUAUAUUUUACUUUAUGAAUGGAAGUGAGAUUUGUGUAUGGUAAAUAUAAUUAAUUCAACCCCAUGGAUACGUUAGUCACUGUCCAGAUGAUGGCAAGUCUUUCUCAGAAGCAGAGGGCCUUGGUGUGCCAGUGAUUUUUUUUCCCCAUGUGUAAGAUACUUUUUUUCCUCAUUUGAAUCAGGAGCCCACAGUUUUUAGACAAGUCCCAAAUGAAAUCUUAAGCAU
rnacentral:lncRNA from 1 species